GAGCGCGUAGCUCAGUUGGUAGAGCAUCUGACUUUUAAUCAGAGGGUCCCGGGUUCGAGCCCCGGCGCGCUCACCA
rnacentral:tRNA from 1 species